UACGUAGGGGGCAAGCGUUGUCCGGAGUUACUGGGCGUAAAGCGCACGCAGGCGGUGCUAUAAGUUUGGGGUUACAGCUUCCGGCUCAACCGGAGGAGCGCCUCAAAGACUGUAGGACUUGAGGGCCAAAGAGGGACACGGAAUUCUGAGUGUAGUGGUGAAAUGCGUAGAUAUUCGGAAGAACACCAAAGGCGAAGGCAGUGUCCUGGUUGGUACCUGACGCUCAGGUGCGAAAGCUAGGGGAG
rnacentral:rRNA from 1 species